rnacentral:lncRNA from 1 species
GAAGGAGGCCAAGGUCUGUGGCCGUCUCGAAGAUGACAUCGGCACGAAGGCCUCCGAGUUCUACAGGAAAAACCUGUCACCCAUGCAGGUUUGUUCUUCUCUUUCACACUUGAUUCAUGUUGUAGUGUUUCUGCAAGAAAGCAUUUGAUAUGCUGAUAGAAACUAGGGUUUUGUACUUAUAUCCUUUGAUCAUGCUUAUGAUUUUAGUAUGCAUUUGAGAAGGUUUUGAGGAAAACUUUGGAAAAUCGAUUCUCAUGAUCAAUUUCUUACAAGCAUUGCAGAUUAGGACUGAUGCAUCUUCUCAGUAUCACCAAUGCAGGUUUAUUCUUUUCCUUCACACCAUUCUAGAUUAGGACUUGAUGCCUGCAGUGGUGUUU